rnacentral:misc_RNA from 1 species
GAAAUGCGAUAUGUAAUGUGAAUUGCAGAAUUCAGUGAAUCAUCGAAUCUUUGAACGCACCUUGCGCUCCUUGGUAUUCCUUGGAGCAUGCCUGUUUGAGUAUCAUGAAAUCUUCAAAGUAAAUCUUUUGUUAACUCAAUUGGUUUCUACUUUGGUAUUGGAGGUCUUUGCAGCUUCACACCUGCUCCUCUUUGUUCAUUAGCUGGAUCUCAGUGUUAUGCUUGGUUCCACUCGGCGUGAUAAGUUAUCUAUCGCUGAGGACACUGUAAAAGGUGGCCAAGGUAAAUGCAGAUGAACCGCUUCUAAUAGUCCAUUGACUUGGACAAUACUUUUAUGAUCUGAUCUCAAAUCAGGUAGGACUACCCGCUGAACUUAAGC